rnacentral:rRNA from 1 species
CAAUAGCGUAUAUUAAAGUUGUUGCAGUUAAAAAGCUCGUAGUUGGAUUUCUGGCAGGGCGCCGAGUACUGCAAGUGCAUGUGCGAGGGCCCGGCCAUCCUUCUGUAAACUUGGCCAGGUCUUUAUUGAUCUACCAAGGGAUCAGAUAAUUUACCUUGAGAAAAUUAGAGUGUUUCAGGCAGGCUAGCGCCGGAAUACAUUAGCAUGGAAUAAUGGAAUAGGACUUUUGCCUCUUCUGUUGGUCAUGAGGCUCGAGUAAUGAUUAAUAGGGAUAGUUGGGGGCAUUAGUACUUAACUGUCAGAGGUGAAAUUCUCGGAUUUGUUAAAGACUAACUUAUGCGAAAGCAUUUGCCAAGGAUGUUUNCAUUAA